rnacentral:rRNA from 1 species
GAUGAACGCUGGCGGCGUGCUUAACACAUGCAAGUCGAACGGAAAGGCCCUGCUUGCGGGGUACUCGAGUGGCGAACGGGCGAGUAACACGUGGGUGAUCUGCCCUGCACUUCGGGAUAAGCAUGUGAAACUGGGUCGAAUACCGGAUAGGAGCCAUUUUUAGCGGGAUGGUUGGAAAGUUUUUUCGGUGUUGGAUGAGCUCGCGGCCUAUCAGCUUGUUGGUGGGGUAAUGGCAUACCAAGGCGGCGAGGGGUAGCCGGCCUGGGAGGUGGGACGGCCACCUGGGUCCUAAGGGAGGCCCCAGUCUCCAAGGGUCGGCAAUGGGGGGAAGACUGACGGAGUGGCGCCAGGCGUGUGACGAGGGCCCGCGGUGGGGAAGACCGCCUUCGGGUUGUAAACUCCUUGCGCUAGGGACGAAGCUUUUUGUGACGGUACCUAGAUAAGAAGCACCGGCUAACUACGUG